rnacentral:tRNA from 1 species
GCAGGUGCAGCCCAGUGAUUGGGCACUUGUCUGGCAUGCAUGAGGCCCUGGGUUCAAUUCCCAGCACCCA